rnacentral:sRNA from 1 species
UGCAGGCAAGAAGAUGGAACUGGAAAAUAUCAUCUGAAUGAGGACUGAAGUCAAGGACUGCUGUGGUUGAAUUAAGGAAAGGCUGGAAGAAGCUGAAGAGGUUGGCGACCCCAAAAGAAGACCAGAAGUCUCAACUCUCCCAGACUCCUGAGAUCUCUCAGACAUUGAGUCCCCAACCAGCAGCAUACAAGAACUGGUGGGAGGACCCUGACGCAUAUACAGCAGAGGACUGCCUGGUCUGGCCUCAGUGAGAGAAUCCUUGCCUAACCCUUUAGAGACUUGAGGACCCAGGAAGUGGGGAGACCUGGUCAGUGUCUUCGAGUAACUGUUGGUUGCCUUUGGUGGCCAGAUGAUGGUGUGAGAUCCCCUAAACUGGAUUUACUGACAUUUGUGAGUUGCCAUGUGGGUUCAGGAGAGUCAACCUGGUUUCUCUGGAAGAGGAGAUAGUCCUUUUUAUUACUGAGCCAUACCUCCGUUCCCUCUUUCAAAUUCUGUUUUUAAUUCUUCUCUCAUGUAUUACAGCCCAAAAAAGAGAUUUUUAUCUCUCCUCUCCUCAGGGUCAGUCUUCCCUACCUGUCUACUCCCCCCAAGACCUUUCCUGUAUUAUUGUCAUGUUUGUCUCUAAUGUAGUAUCUUGUUUGUUGAGUUUUGUUAUUUGGUUACACAGUCAUUGCUAAAAGAUUUGUCGUAAGAUUUAAAUUUGUGUUUUGUUUUUCAAACGAUUGUAAAGGAAAUUUAUUGUGUUUCCAAAAUAUUGUCAAUAUUAAAAUAUGAAAACUCUCUAUGUUUAUUUAGUGGUUCAGUGGUAGCUAUCAACACAGCAGAAUCCAAAAUCAGCUUGGAGGCAAGUCCUUCGGACAUCUCUGAGGGGUCAUCUUGUUGUUUGAAGAACCAUCUUAAUUGUAACUAAGAACAUCCCCUGGGUGGAAAAUCCUGUAUUGCAUAAAAUGAUGAAGGCAGGAGAAAUGACUUCAAUUCAACAUGAAAUUAAUCCCCCAGACCAUCAUUAGAGUGCAAAGGUGACCUGAGCAUCUGAGCCUUCAGGAAGACAUGCUUCAUGGAUCUCAAUUUGGAUUUCUGAACAGAGAAACAGGUAUCAUCAAUUACUGGUACUUGUAAUGCACAACAUUGCCAUGAAGAAAACGGAAUUAGCACAGAGCAUGCAGAGUACCUUCCAACUCCAUGAACAUUACAUGUGAAGCUUCAAGUUUGGUAUCUGCACAAUUUCUCAAUGGUUGAUGACAGAACAUCCUGAGAAGAUCACACUGGAGACCACUACUCUGAUCUAAGAUAUAAACUGCAAGUACUUUCCUGAUGAGGAGUAGGACUCUGUGUUUAUACCCUUAACCAAUGCUGUAACUGUGAUCUAUGGCAAGGGAAGAACAAGAUCUCAGGACUGCUUCAUCACCUUACGAAGAUAUUCAAAAAUACAUAAUACUAGAAGAAAUUUUUUUCUUUCAAUCUUAGAAUGUGGAGGGAAUCUUUCUUAAUUAGUGUACAGUUGACAGAGGAUACCUAGGGAGUUUAUUCCCAUGCUGAGAUACCAAUUCCUUACUACUGUCCACAGCAUUCUUAGAUACUUCCUUUUCAAAGUGAUUCUAGCAGAGGCAAAAAGUUCGUAGGUGUUCAUACUGUAAUUAAGAAUUAUUAUGGAAAAAGAAUUUUAUUAUGCAAAAAGUGUUUAUGCAUAGACAGUGGAUAGAAAGGCUCAAUUCUGCAACUCAUGUGUUAUCUUUGACUUUUUAAAAGGAGCUGUUCACUAGAGAGUAGCUGCAAGGAAUGGAAAAUUUGAUGAGCCAAACUGAGGAAGAUUGAUGAAGCAGAGAGCUGACAUCAAUUCACAUUGUGGUGUAAUCAUUUUUCUAUAAACGGUAUUUCUGAUACGGAGUCUCAGUGUACUUUGUAGUGAGGUUGCAAAUUCAAGCACUAAUGCAAUGCUUCCUGUCAGCAUCCUGAGAAGAUCACUCUGGAGACCACUACUCUGAUCUAUGAUAUAAACUGCAAGUACUUUCCUGAUGAAGAGUAGGACUCUGUGUUUAUACCCUUAACCAAUGCUGUAACUGAGCUGUUCACUAGAGAGAAAUCGCAAGAAAUGGAAAAUUUGAUGCGCCACACUGAGGAAGAUUGAGGAAGCAGAGAGCUGACAUCAAUUCACAUUAUGGUGUAAUCAUUUUUCCAUAAACAAAUAAUGUAAGAAUGGAGAUUUCCUUCAUUUUAAUAUCUACAUGGAUGAGAUUGGUGGCAUUAAGAAAGACAUUGAUGUGGAAACGUAAAGGAUAUUUGUGAUGGAUAUAUGACUAGUUUCUCCUUCAGAACACCAUGGCAGCAACCAAGGUAUCACCAAGAAGCCGUAGAAGCAAUAUGACUACAAAUGUGGUUACUGAGAAACGUAUCUAAUUGUGUUUCAACCCUCAGAGAUACUUCUGAUGUAAGGUAAGAAAUAUAGUAAAAAUAUAUGGGCCUGACAAUUUAAUAUUGGCUUUCAGUAUAGAGGAGAAAACUGUCUCCUGGGCUCUGUGGGAGUUCCAGUUGAGGUGGGCUUUAGGACAAGGAUCUCAUCUGUGUCCCUGGUUACAGGAGACCUGCUGGGAGACAGGCAAGCUAUAGGAUUUAGCAUGGAUCAGACAUGUUGAUCUCAUUUAUUAUGGAGUAAUUAGCUCUGAACAAUGGGUGAAGUAUACACCAGAAAGAGAGAUUGAAAGUAAAAUAGAAGAGACAGCAGAUCAGUUUCAGGCUAACAGCACCUCUCAGCUCACAUGAGGAAUCAAUGAUCUGGCAAUGUUCCAGGGGCAGGGACUGUGUCACACCUUCCCUUAUGCAGACAGGUAAUGUUCAAGGAGCCCAGAUUGAGACUGAGAGCUGAAAAACUGUGGCAAGGCUUUUCUGCUUUUAUAUUGUAGACAGGCACAAAAUGUCAAAUUUGGGAUACUCAGUAGGUACAAAACCAUGGUAAGAACAUGGGUGAAGAUCUAAACACUGUUUAUCCUACAGCUAUCUCGUUUCCAAAAUGUGUCUGAUUUAUAGGAGCUAUAACCCCAACUUGGUACCUUCUCUGAGUUAAAAGCCCACAGACUAGUGAAAAGCUCCAGAGACAUCAACUGAGCAAGUCCUAAGAUGAUAUUUUUUAAAAAUGAAAAAUAUAAAAAAUUAUUUUACAGCUGUGAAGGUCAAAAGUUUAAGAAGACCCAGAUUAUACUAUCAAUAAAUAACAACAUCUACCCCCACAAACCAGGAGCACAUUGGAGUCCUGUAGCAAUUAGUUUAGGUGUCUGAGGCAAUGACCUUUAAAGACAAUUCAGCACUGAAAUUCCUAGAGUUAUAGAAUCUUCCA